rnacentral:tRNA from 1 species
GCGCCCGUAGCUCAAUUGGAUAGAGCGCUUGGCUACGGACCAAGAGGCUGGGGGUUCGAGUCCCUCCGGGCGCGCAA